rnacentral:rRNA from 1 species
UGAGAGUUUGAUCCUGGCUCAGGACGAACGCUGGCGGCGUGCUUAACACAUGCAAGUCGAACGGAAAGGCCCUGCUUGCAGGGUGCUCGAGUGGCGAACGGGUGAGUAACACGUGGGUGAUCUGCCCCUGACUUUGGGAUAAGCCUGGGAAACUGGGUCUAAUACCGGAUAUGACCAAGGAUUGCAUGGUUCUUGGUGGAAAGCUUUUGCGGUUGGGGAUGGGCCCGCGGCCUAUCAGCUUGUUGGUGGGGUAAUGGCCUACCAAGGCGACGACGGGUAGCCGACCUGAGAGGGUGAUCGGCCACACUGGGACUGAGACACGGCCCAGACUCCUACGGGAGGCAGCAGUGGGGAAUAUUGCACAAUGGGCGCAAGCCUGAUGCAGCGACGCCGCGUGAGGGAUGACGGCCUUCGGGUUGUAAACCUCUUUCAGCAGGGACGAAGCGCGAGUGACGGUACCCGCAGAAGAAGCACCGGCCAACUACGUGCCAGCAGCCGCGGUAAUACGUAGGGUGCGAGCGUUGUCCGGAAUUACUGGGCGUAAAGAGCUCGUAGGCGGUUUGUCGCGUCGUCUGUGAAAUUCUGCAGCUUAACUGCAGGCGUGCAGGCGAUACGGGCAGACUUGAGUACUACAGGGGAGACUGGAAUUCCUGGUGUAGCGGUGAAAUGCGCAGAUAUCAGAGGAACACCGGUGGCGAUGCGGGUCUU